rnacentral:rRNA from 1 species
AGCAGCCGCGGUAAUUCCAGCUCCAAUAGCGUAUAUUAAAGUUGUUGCAGUUAAAAAGCUCGUAGUUGAAUUUCGGGGUUAGUAGAUUGGUCAUGCCUCUGGUAUGCACUGGUCUUACUGAUUCCUCCUUCCUGAUGAACCGUAAUGCCAUUAAUUUGGUGUUGCGGGGAAACUGGACUGUUACUUUGAAAAAUUGAGUGUUUAAAGCAGGCUAACGCUUGAAUACAUUAGCAUGGAAUAAUGAAAUGGACGUUCGAUCUUAUUUUGUUGGUUCUAGGAUUGACGUAAUGAUUAAUAGGGAUAGUUGGGGGCAUUAGUAUUCAAUUGUCAGAGGUNAAAUUCUUGGAUCUAUUGAAGACUAACUACUGCGAAAGCAUUUGCCAAGGAUGUUUCAUUAGUCAAGAACGAAGUUAGGGGAUCGAAGACGAUCAGAUACCG